GGAGGAAGGUGGGGAUGACGUCAAGUCCUCAUGGCCCUUAUGGGUAGGGCUUCACACGUCAUACAAUGGUGCAUACAGAAGGGUUGCCAACCCGCGAGGGGGAGCUAAUCUCAGAAAAUGCAUCGUAGUCCGGAUCGUAGUCUGCAACUGAGCUACGUGAAGCUGGAAUCGCUAGUAAUCGCGGAUCAGAAUGUCGCGGUGAAUACGUUCC
rnacentral:rRNA from 1 species